ensembl:rRNA 5S_rRNA 5S ribosomal RNA
GUCUACAGCCAUACCACCCAAAACGCACCCAAUCUUGUCUGAUCUCGGAAGCUAAGCAGGGUUGGGUCUGGUUAGUACUUGGAUGGGAGAAAUCCCCCUUAAUACAACAGUUGAGGGGGACU